rnacentral:rRNA from 1 species
UCGGACUUUACACUCAUCACCCUGUGACAUACCUAUAACGUUGCCUCGGCGGGAACAGACGGCCCCGUAACACGGGCCGCCCCCGCCAGAGGACCCCCUAACUCUGUUUCUAUAAUGUUUCUUCUGAGUAAACAAGCAAAUAAAUUAAAACUUUCAACAACGGAUCUCUUGGCUCUGGCAUCGAUGAAGAACGCAGCGAAAUGCGAUAAGUAAUGUGAAUUGCAGAAUUCAGUGAAUCAUCGAAUCUUUGAACGCACAUUGCGCCCGCCAGUAUUCUGGCGGGCAUGCCUGUUCGAGCGUCAUUACAACCCUCAGGCCCCCGGGCCUGGCGUUGGGGAUCGGCGGAAGCCCCCUGCGGGCACAACGCCGUCCCCCAAAUACAGUGGCGGUCCCGCCGCAGCUUCCAUUGCGUAGUAGCUAACACCUCGCAACUGGAGAGCGGCGCGGCCACGCCGUAAAACACCCAACUUCUGAAUGUUGACCUCGAAUCAGGUAGGAAUACCCGCUGAACUUAAGCAUAUCAAAA